GUCUCUCUCUCUCUCUCUCUCUCUCUCUCUCUCUCUUUCUCUCUCUCUCUCUCUCUCUCUCUCUAUAUAUAUAUAUAUAUAUAUAUAUAUAUAUAUAUAUAUAUAUAUAUAUAUAUAUAUAAUGUUGGUAAUCUGUAGGGAAAAUUAUGUGGGUAAGGCUGGAGAAUUAUUCUUUAGUUUGAUCCCACAUAGGAAGGAACAUUAAACUUUAUUGGGUUUAUAUAACCACCUUUAUAUGAAAUGCUAUGAUGGCUUGCCGACUUUGCCUUCCAGAUUUUUUUACUUAUUGUACUAGGAGUUGGUUACUGAUUUUUGAGUAUAAAUACAACCUUUCCUGUUGUAUUUUAUACCAUAUGGAAGUUAGAAACCUCAUGUGAAUUCUCUCCCAUUACGAGCUCUCCUCCCACAGUUUGAAUUCCCUCGUUUCCUUUGUAUUUUCUGCUGCAAAAGCCAUUUUUCCUCAAGGUAUUUACUCCUUGUUUUCAGUGAUAUGUUGAUCCCAUAGUUGCUUGAAGUGAACGAUUGUUUGCGUCAUAUCCUGGGGUUUUACGACUUGUAGGACCGAUAGCUGACAAUGACAUGGAACUGACGGGCCGUGAGGGCAUGGAUAGUUUAAUGUGCUCAUCAACGUCUGAUCCUGAGAUGUGGAUCAUACAAAGCUUAUUAGCAUGGUGUACUCCUGUUCGAAACCGGGGUUUGAAACCAAACUUCUCCUCAGGAGGAUAGAUGGGGAGAUUCAUGUCAUAUCCAACUUUCGAUUCACUUGUGGGAUCCGGGCAAAACCUUCUCCCAUUUCAAGUAGCGUAACACCCAAUUAACUACUUGUAACACAUGGCCUAUUUGAAAUAGUCUUUAAUUAAACCUUUAAAAAUAUUUCAGAGAUUUAGUUUGUGAAAAACGGUCCUAAAAUUUAAAUCAAAUUAUUUUCAGAGUUUAAAUGUGGAUAACGAUCCCAAACAUAAAUAUCCAAACAUUUAGGGUUUAAGAAAAACAUUUCAUGCGAGAGUGUCACAGUAGAUAUCAAAACAAAGGUUUAAGAAGUCAUUACAAACCAAGGGUCUUCUAAAUGUUCAAGCUUGUAAAUCUUCUAAGCUCCUGAUAAUAUCCACUAACCUGCAAAUUUAUCAAAGUAGUAGGUUUGGCUAUGGGGAGCCUAAUGAGUACAAUCCCGGGUUAGACAUUAUAUUGAUAACGUAUGAAUGAACACUUCGGUUCAUACACUAAUGUACAAACCUGUACCUUCUUAAAACAACAUAAUGAAUAGUUAGCUUGGGGUAAAAUAUGACAUAAGUCAAAGUACAUUGUCAUAAAUGUCAAAUCUCAUAUAAACUUCACAAACAGAUAAACAAUACAAGUUGAUUGUGCCUUAAUUAGGCAAUUCUCAACAAUCAAAACCCACACAAAAUCAUAUAGAUAGAUAGAUACUCGCAUGAGUUCAAAACACUCGGAUUCGAUAAUCCGAUGAAAACCAUUAUACAAAACUUUGUUUUUUUUCCAAAAAGAUUUGUUUUAAGGAAGAAACAACUCGAAUAGAUAAUGCAAUGCAUGCAACUAUCCCAACCCAUGUCAAUCUCGAUAAAUCCAACCUCACAAUGCAAUCUCACAACGCUAAAUGGCGGUGGACACUUAAGGGGUCUUCCCUCAAGUUAUUAGAAAAUGUGGGUCUCCCUUCUUCUGUGUCUACACUCUGCAUAAGUGACUCUUCCACCAUCAAUAUAGGAACUAGGUAGCCAUGAUCCCUAGCUCCAAAUAAGGGGUAGCAAGCCCACAUAUACAGGUAUGCAUCCACAAAUAGGAUGUCAAAACACUUUCAAAAUAGAUAUUUGCUUUUGUUAUCAAAUCACUUCAAAAAAUCUUGUUUCAUGAAUGCAAACAAGUAUAUGCACAUAUAAUCAAGUAGCAAUCAAGUAUAUGUUAGAUAAUUUUCAAAUCACAAGAUCAGUAAUAAGGGAUGUAUGCUUCCAAAACUUAAGAUAAAGAUCAAAAGGGUAGUCAUACCCGUAAUACCAAAAAUAAGGUAAAUCCCCCUUCAAUAAAUUCACAUUAUCAAAAGCAUGUCCUUAGUUCGAUAAAGGACAUCCUCGACACAUAAACAUGGGCGAGGUUAGUUGAUGCCAAGGUGGGUCACUUGACCCAACUAAAUUUAAAAAUUUUACAAUAAGUUAUAUACAAAAAAAUAUUUAGGACCUACCUUAAAUAUUUUGAAGCAUCUACCUUAAUGUCUUUAGCAAAACAAAUGAAGGAAAAAAGAGGUAUAAACUAUAUAGACAAUAGAAGGCAUAUCAUAUUUUGUGGCAUUAAGGAGUCACACGUCGACUCCAUUAAUGAAAGUGGUGAGGUGCUUGAGCUUCCAUUAUAAAUUGAUAUUUCCUCUUUCACACCUCCGCACCAUAAGCUUGUUGGAGGCAUGGUUUAGACCGACUUAUUCGAAUUAUAAGUUGGCUUUAGUAAAAAAAAGUUAUGAAGGACCGAUUUGGGCUGGGUCCUUUCACCACCAAUUUUUAUAAAUGUUGAAUCGGUUAUUUUUCUGGUUGUACUAGCCUAGUCGAUUUUCUCUUGAACCAACCCGGUUGAACUCAAUCAAGGAACACAUAAUAUACAUAUAACAUUCAAACAAUUUAUAUGUAUGCACAUAUUAUCAUAAAAUAGGAAAACACAAAAAAAAUAUCCAUAUAUUAGGGACAAGUGUUUCAAGGUAAAUGUAUUCACCUUGGUCCAAUGCUUAGCAAUACUAAAAUCUUCUUUACUUGAACAACACCUCUUCAAACUUAUGUUUCCAAGUUAACACCUAAUACCUUUUGUGUUAAUCAUACAAUAUUG